rnacentral:rRNA from 1 species
NCUGGCGGCCUUAGCGCGGUGGUCCCACCUGACCCCAUGCCGAACUCAGAAGUGAAACGCCGUAGCGCCGAUGGUAGUGUGGGGUCUCCCCAUGCGAGAGUAGGGAACUGCCAGGC